rnacentral:rRNA from 1 species
AUUGAACGCUGGCGGCAUGCCUAACACAUGCAAGUCGAGCGAGUGGCGGACGGGUGAGUAAUGUUUGGGAAACUGCCUGUUGGUGGGGGAUAACUACUGGAAACGGUAGCUAAUACCGCAUACUAUCAGAUGUGCCUAGAUGGGAUUAGCUAGUUGGUGGGGUAACGGCUUACCUAGGCGACGAUCCCUAGCGGGACUGAGAGGAUGACCAGCAACACUGGAACUGAGACACGGUCCAGACUCCUACGGGAGGCAGCAGUGGGGAAUAUUGCACAAUGGGCGCAAGCCUGAUGCAGCCAUGCCGCGUGUGUGAAGAAGGCCUUCGGGUUGUAAAGCACUUUCAGCGGGGAGGCGUUACCCGCAGAAGAAGCACCGGCUAACUCCGUGCCAGCAGCCGCGGUAAUAC